CCGGGCCCCCGCGCGGGGGGCUGCCGCCCGAGCGCUGAUUGACAGGCGGCCUCGCCAAUGCCUGGAGGGAGAAAGGAGUUAAAGAGCAAGUGUUUAGGGGAGAAAUCACUGAGUAGUCACUGUUUCACAGCAGCUGACGGGGAGGGAGCUGGUUGCCUGCCGCCUGAGGAUGCUUAUUCUUGCUUUUCCCCUCGAGUCUCCACAGGGCCACCCGAGCAUCAGAUGGAGUGAGUCUGAUUCCAACUGUUAUUGGGUCUUACUCCUGACUCUGUGCUCAGGAAUCACUCCUGGUGAGAAGUGGAGGACUGCUAAGGAACGCACCUGGUCAACCCAUGUGCAAGGGCACUGUGUGCAAGAAGCAUCCCCACUGCACCAGCAGAUGGCCUCAAAGUGAAAGCACUGCAGUUUUGCCAAACAAGAAUGAAGAAGAAAGAGGAUGACUUUCAUCUCAUCCUCUUCAGAGAAGAGUGACCUUGUGCACAGCAUUCAUGGCCUGUGCCUUCUGUACUCUGGGGGAUUUGGUCACCAGGAGAGCCAGGGAGGAGAAGGAGGACGAUCUUGAACUCUGUUCCCUGGGGCUCACUGCCUGCUCGGCAAGAGUCGUAUCAGACAUCACCUCUUAGAGGCAGAGUCUUCUGACAGCUCAUCAAGGAAGAAGAAGGUUCGCACAACUUCAAGUUCUGGGUGCCAUUUGAUCUUUCAUC